AUCGAAGCAGUGAACUUAAGCCCCAGUAAACGGCGGCCGUAACUAUAACGGUCCUAAGGUAGCGAAAUUCCUUGUCGGGUAAGUUCCGACCCGCACGAAAGGCGUAACGAUUUGGGCACUGUCUCAACAACAGACUCGGUGAAAUUGUAAUUCCGGUGAAGAUGCCGGAUACCUGCGACAGGACGGAAAGACCCCAUGGAGCUUUACUGUAGCUUGACAUUGGGUCUUGGUACUACAUGUACAGGAUAGGUGGGAGGCUUUGAAACCAGGACGCCAGUUUUGGCGGAGCCAUCCUUGGGAUA
rnacentral:rRNA from 1 species